rnacentral:rRNA from 1 species
AACGAACGCUGGCGGCGCGCCUAAUACAUGCAAGUCGAGCGAGAAGACGUAGCAAUACGUUUGUAAAGCGGCGAACGGGUGAGGGAAUACAUGGGUAACCUACCCUCGAGUGGGGAAUAACUAGCCGAAAGGUUAGCUAAUACCGCGUACGCUCCUUGGACUUCGGUUCAGGGAGGAAAGCGAUACCGUGGGUAUCGCGCUCAUGGAUGGGCUCAUGUCCUAUCAGCUUGUUGGUGAGGUAACGGCUCACCAAGGCUUCGACGGGUAGCUGGUCUGAGAGGACGAUCAGCCACACUGGCACUGCGACACGGGCCAGACUCCUACGGGAGGCAGCAGUAAGGAAUAUUGCGCAAUGGGCGAAAGCCUGACGCAGCGACGCCGCGUGGGGGGAUGAA